rnacentral:rRNA from 1 species
AUGGCGCCUGUUAGCUACGACCUAGUGCACCGCGCAGGUCAUAGUGAAUGGUCCACUGAGGUAGUCCAGAGAUCAUUCGCGGUAAUGCUUGGCCUAAUUGUGACUGCCAAGAGAGAAACUGUAACAGGCCUGCUUCAACAGAUGUCAGAGGAUAAGGAAGCAAUCAUCACAAUGGAAGAAUCUUCGUUAAUGUUGAUAGCAGUAACUCCAUCAGAGAGACUACAGUUAAAGCACUGGUGGUACUAUUUCUCAGCAGAAAAAACAUUGCCCCCCUCAUCCCCAAGGAGGAAAAUGAUGGGUUUGUCUGUGGUCUCACCUAAAUACUAG